rnacentral:rRNA from 1 species
UACGAAGGGGGCGAGCGUUGUUCGGAUUUACUGGGCGUAAAGGGCGCGCAGCGGCCGCAUUUGUCAGGCGUGAAAGCCCCGGGCUUAACCUGGGAACUGCGUUUGAUACGGUGUGGCUAGAGUUCGGGAGAGGAGAGUGGAAUUCCCAGUGUAGAGGUGAAAUUCGUAGAUAUUGGGAAGAACACCGGUGGCGAAGGGCGGCGACCUG